UCCAUACCUUUUAUGGUUCUUGAGAUGUCAACAUUUGUUUAGAGGCACCAUUUACCACGGUGACUACAAAAAAAUAUGCCACAUAGUACAAAAAAAGAAAUGUCAAAAGCUCAAAUUAUUCCCAGGUGUUAAACAGCAUUAAAGCUGUUAAAUUGCCCAACUUCAAAAUGGCCACUGCCUUGUUUCCUCUGUGAUAGCUCUGAAACUGGAUGAUUGAUUGCCAUUAAUAGGCUGGACCUAAAACAUCCACUGUGAAACACAACGGACAUUUUAUAUUGUAAUUCUCAAUUCUGCCACAGGAUGGAGAUGUUUCCCCCAUGGGAUGAAAAUUUCAUAAAAAGCGGAAUAUUAUAAAAGGUAUUAAGGUUAUGAAUACCAAGAGAUACAGCCGGCAGUAGGAGAGUAAGUUGAAUAGUAUAAAAGUUGUGUAGUGGUAUAGAAAUGCACCUAAUUCCACACAGGUGGUUGUCAGGUGAGAAGUUCUGGUUGUUAAGGUGGGUGUGGUAUAUAAGGAGCUGCGGCUUUCAUUCAGGAUGUGUCGUCUUUGCUCUUCCACUGUGUGGUUCGCGUCCUGUGGACUCUGGCAGCGGAAAUUAACAAAUCACUGGCUGGUGCGUGCUACACUGAGAUCCUGGUGGUAGGUGUUCUCUCUCCCUGCACUUCAGCUGAUCUUGGCCAGAAAAUAUAAAUUGAAUUGUGAUUAUAGGUAAAGCGCCACUGCGCUGCGCUCCUUCUCUUCCUCCUUCUGCGAGUGUGUGUGUGUGCGUGUUUGGAUCGGCAGGUCCCCCCACAGUCGGACCAUUGCUGCUCUGUUCUGCUCCGAUCUACUCUGCUUUGCUCUGUCUGCRUUCGUUUCCCGGACUUCYAUCUCAGUCGUUUUUAAAGUUGGACUGCGGCGGUAUUAUCCGCCUCCAUCGAAGCGUGUUUGGGGUGUGGCAUCGGCGCACCCAUUUCACCCCCCGUUGUGGCGUGACAAGCGGGCCACGCAUGGUCCUGAUGUUUUAACUUGCAUUGGCUAUUGUUAAUUUCUAUUCCUUUACUUAUUUUGCUUACGGCCCUUUUUGUCUUUUAUUUAGUUGGGCUGAUAUUGCUUUUUUUCUAAUUAGGUUUAAGAUUGUUAUCUUGGUUAACUGUUUUUCUUUUGUUGUUUUGCAGUUGCUGAGGUCCGGUGGCGGUGUUGGUGUCUUCCCCUUCUGCGUGCUGUGAUUCUUGAGUUUGGGUUGUCUCACUGCGUCUGGUGUGUCAAAGGGUUUUUUUUUUUUGGUUUGCUGUGUUUGGUGGAUACCGUCCCUAUAGCGCCCCCUCUGGCUGGUAACUUCAGCUACUGCACUUACUUUGAUUUUCUUUGUUUUCCUUUGUGUCCCUUCGUAAAAAGAAACUGGUUUUAAAAAGUGUUUUAAAAAGAGCUUAAUAAAUGGUUGUUUUAUAAAUUUGAAAUUGUCUCAGAUGUGCUAAAUUCAUGCAUAACUGAACCUGUGUGCCUUAAACCAAAAGAAAUAUUCUCUGGGUGAAAUUCCCAGGGUGGCGUUGUUGUGCAACCUAUUAAAACUAAAAGUUCACCAAAUCUGAGUUUCCGUCUAGUAUCGCCACA